rnacentral:tRNA from 2 species
GGGCGAAUCACUCAGUUGGGCUAGAGCCUCCGUUGUGCACCCGGAAGGUCGGAGGUUCGAGUCCCUCUUCGCCCACCG